ensembl:lncRNA
GAAAGACAGGGACAGCACAAAACACAACAGAAGACGUAACACCACAGUCCUCUCUCUGCCAAUAGAUGAUACCACAGUCCUCUCUGUGUCAAUAGUUGUUACUGCAAACAUACAAGCUGAAACAAUAUUGAACAAAGAGAGAGGCAACAGGGAAUCUAUAUAGAUGUGGUGAGACAAUAGGGAACAGGUGUGCGUAAUAGAACAAGACAGUACAGGGAAGUGUUAAAAUGCAGCAGGGAAACUAGACGAUGACUGCUAGAAAGCUGUCGAAGCAGAACGAUAUGACUGUGAUGUGAACUGGGAUACGUGGUCAUAAGCGGAUCUGUGACACAUACUUUGCAUUUAACACACCUGUACUUUCACUUUUGUUUCGGUUCAACUCCCGUGUGAUUGGCUGUCUUCUACAUAAAGGAGAAACGGCACUCACAUAAGCUACAUUUUAUCUUUCGAACCGAACAUUUAUGUUUACUACCAAUUUGGAACCUAUUUUAUCCUUUGUUCACAGGUACCCACACUAAAUUAACAUUUAAACCAUGGAAUUUCUGGAGUCAACAAAGACGGACCUGUGCCAGUGGUUAUCAACAGAUGCUCAGUAUAUCAUUGACAAGUGUCAAGAUAUUUUAUCUGUUAAACAAGGAAAGGCUGUGUGCAACCAAGACACUGAUGAAAAGAAGAUCAGCAUGCUGUUGAAAUUUAUCAUGGAAAGGGGAGAGGAAACAUGUGAGGAGUUCCUUGAGAUUCUGAAGAAUGAGCAGAAGCAUUACCCGAGCCUUCAACAGCAUUUCAGCAACAGCAUGCACGGUCCAACAGUAUAUGCGGAUUGCAACAGCAUCGUUGACACCCGACAAGUCACCAACGUCCAUGUUAAAAAAGACUUAAACAUGGAUGCAACUGUUCAAGCAGGAGAGAUGAAUCCAUCUGGAUUCAACCACAGCCAACCACCCCCACGUGCAAAUAUGUUUGCAACCAAUAACAGUAAUAUAAUUUCACCAGGAAUAUCAAACUGUAAAGUUUAUGGAGACUUCAAUAUGUCUUUAGGACAGGCCCCACCCUCAAAUGGCCCAACAUUCCAGGUAUGCCACUGCCUCUACCCGUGGGGGAGUCUGGGGAGGAGCUUCUGCCUCCAACCGCGGAAGGUUUCGGAGGAGUUUCUGCCUCUGCCCGCGGAGGGGUUCAGCGAUGUCACCGGUGCCGUGCCGGCUGUUUCGUUACGUUCUUAUGUUAUAUUCAUUUUAGUUCUAAUUUGUCUGUUUCUAUGUUCUGUUUGGUUUCCCCUGUGCCUCGCCUAACCCUGCGGAGGGGUACGGCGAGGAGCUUCUGCCUCUGCCCGCGGAGGGGUUCUGCGAGGAGUGUCUGUCUCGGCCCUCUGAGGUGUUUGGCGAGGAGCUUCUGCCUCCGCCCAUGGAGGUGUCCGGGGAGGAGCUUCUCAUCAGGAAUAUCAAACUGUAAAGUUGAUGGCGACGUCAAUAUGUCUUUGAGGCAGGCCCCACUUGUCCAGGUAAGCUUCUGCCUCUGUCUUGGCCCGCGAAGGUGUCCGGCGAGGAGCCCACGGAGGGGUUCAGCGAGGAUCUUCUGCCUCUGCCUGCGGAGGUGUCCAGCGAGGAGUCCACGGAGGGGUUCAGCGAGGAUCUUCUGCCUCCACCUGCAGAGGUGUCCGGCGAGGAGCCCAUGGAGGUGUUCAGCGAGGAGCUUCUGCCUCCGCCAGCAGAGGUGUCCGGCGAGGAGCCCACGGAGGGGUUCAGCGAGGAUCUUCUGCCUCCGCCUGCGGAGGUGUCCAGCGAGGAGCCCACAGAGGGGUUCAGCGAGGAUCUUCUGCCUCCAUCUGUGGAGGGGUUCGGCCAGGAGCUUCUGCCUCCGCCUGCAGAGGUGUCCGAGGAGGAUCUAGAUUUAGCGACUUUUCAGACCCCCUUAGCAACUUUUUGUGGUGUUAUUGGAGACUUGUUCUUACUCUUCUCAGCGAGCAGCGGGUGCCGCCGUGGGCCCCUCCCCUAUCUGAAAGCACUCACAGGUGGCCCAGUCCUCGCACAGCUGUUCCUCUGAGCUGCAGUCAGAGCAGGAGAUGUUAACUCCUCCGCGUCCAGACUGAAAAUGAAUCGCGCAUGCGGGAAGCCCCCGCUGGCUUUUCCUGGCCGUAAUGUAAAAUUUAAAUGUUCUUUGUCUAAAAUAAAUCAUUGCUGAUGGGAAAUUAUGCAAAUUAGGCAAUGACGUCAUUUUGCGACUUCUAGCGACUUUUAGGACAGCCAAUAGCGACUUGCCUUACUGAGGAUUUGGCAACAAUGUGCGGAGGGGUUCGGCGAGGAGCUUCUGCCUCCGCUUGCGGAGGGUUCCCGUGGAAUGCACAAUGGAAUGCAAGAUAGCCUUAUCAUAAAAGCUGAAGGCACAGACGUGUCAAUCAUGCUUUUGAAUUUUAAAUAAACAUUAUUGUAACAGAAUGUCAUUUUUUCUUCUAAGGUAGUAUUUCUUCAUGUAAUAUUUAAUAAAAGAUGAAUAACUGAAUUACUGCUUAUUUAAAAAACCCAACCACUUAUUAGAAUAAACUUAUUCUGUAGGGCCUUGUGAUGGAAGCUAUUGUUGGGAGUAAAUUGGAACUUAUUGACUUGGGUUAAAGCAAGCAAGCAUGUUUUAUUUAUAUAGCACAAACCAGGACCUUCAGCAUGCACUGGGACGGUUUGCAGCCGAGUGUGAAGCGGUGGGGAUGAGAAUCAGUACCUCCAAAUCCGAGGCCAUGGUCCUGUCGGAAAAGGGUGGCUUGCCCACUUCAGGUUGGUGGAGAGUGCCUGCCUCAAGUGGAGGAGUUUAAGUAUCUAGGGGUCUUGUUCACGAGUGAGGGAAGGAUGGAACGGGAGAUUGACAGACGGAUCGGUGCAGCUUCUGCAGUAAUGCGGUCGAUGUAUCGGUUUGGUCGUGGUGAAGAAAGAGCUGAGCCGCAAGGCGAAGCUCUUGAUUUACCGGUCAAUCUACGUUCCUACUCUCACCUAUGGUCAUGAGCUUUGGGUCAUGACCGAAAGGACAAGAUCCCGGAUACAGGUGGCCGAAAUGAGCUUUCUCCGCAGGGUGGCUGGGUGAUCCCUUAGAGAUAGGGUGAGAAGCUUGGUCUCCCGGGAGGAGCUCAAAGUAGAGUCGCUGCUCCGCCACAUCGAGAGGGGUCAGCUGAGGUGGCUUGGGCACCUGUUUCUAAUGCCUCUGGAACGCCUUCCUGGGAAGGUGUUCCGGUCCCGUCCCACUGGGA